ACCCCACCGAGGCAAAUUAUAUAGGUAUAUAAGGAAAGAAGAUAGUGGACAGCGGGAAACAGAUCACAGCGGAGCUUCUCGAAAGUUACAUACAUAUCGUCGACAGUGCCUCUCCUACCCGUCUUAUCUCCCUUUCUUGAGUUAGCGUAUGCUGAGGUCAUACGCAGUUCUUGACCUGCUAGCGAACGACGGCAGCAGAGGCACGGUAUAGUUUGUGUUCGUGUGCUCUGCUGCCCUCCCUCCCCCUCCCCGCCUUACCUCUUUGUUAUAGCUGUAGCUAGUUAGUGCUUUCUUUCUCUGCUUGUGUUACGUGUAGAACUCUUUCCUCUUCCUUUUUCGAACUUGCUCGCGCUGCUUUCAUCGAGAGUUUGGUAGCGAACUCGUUUCCUCCCCCUCCCCCCCCACCGUCUCGCCCUCGUUCGCACGACAUCUAGGCAUAGCUGAGUUUUGCGUCACCUAUCGCAGCGCCUUUCCUACUGCGUUCACGCUGCGCGUAGCCGCCGCACUGUGUCUCUUUCCUUUUAUUUUUGCCAGCAACCUCGGUGAGGCACACGCAAUAAAACUGAGCAGUCAAUGAAGAGGACGUUCCCGCUGCUGUGGACCUUCUCAGACAACCGGGGCUACUACGGGCCCCCGGUGUACAUGCCGCUGGAGUACGCCAGCCGCAUCACGAACCAGAAGCAGCUCGUCUUCACGCACCCUAAGGACCCCAAAUACACAUGGAACACCGGCAUCGACGAAUUGUCUAGUCUCCAUCCCGGCAUCCUCGGACCGGGGCGUAAGACGCCGCAGCUGAACUACACGAGCCGCGGUGGCAUCAUCUGUGAAAUUCCGCCAGUUCCGGUGUACCGGUCGCGUAUUUGGUGCAUGGGGCACGGCCACUUCAUUCUUCAGCACCCGCGCAUCUUCAUUAAGUGCCCGCGCAACAAAGUGGUCUGCUGCAAGUGGUGCCGUCUCAAGUUUAUCAACAUGUCGACCGACGAGGACAAUGACGACGACUGGUUCGAGGAGGAGCACAAGAUCUCGACGACGCCAGAGUCUGAGGAGGACCUGCGGCAGCCGAUUCGCGACUUGGGUGGUGUGCUGCGCAACAGCCCGUUUCAGGACGGCAAGGAGCCGGACCCGCAUGUGUACCGCUCCGUUUUUGAUCCAGAGCGGUACCGCUGGAAGCACCCAGGAAAGGCUAACUACGAGGUGCAUCCAGCGUACGCCAAGAAGGACAGCGCCCACGAGGACUGCGGCCAUCAUUAGCCAACGCGCGGUCCUCUGGAGCAAAGAAGCCGCGACAAACAGCGUCGCACGGGGUGGGGGAGGCACAAGGCGUUCACGUGACGUUUUCCACGGAUUUCCUCGUUUCUCGUUGCGCGGUGCAUACAUGUGGUCACUGUGCGCGGCAUGAGCUUCGUCCCUUUAACUCGUCCUGCUCCGUCACACCGCUCCACCUGCCAACAACGGUGGCGUACCGUUCCUAGUCGUACAAGAAAUGCUCAGCGUGCAUGCCCCACCCCUUUUUUCUUCACUCUUGUAUGAUGGCGCUCUCGUCUGCUUCGACCCUCGCUGGCGAGCGCUCCAGCUGCACAUAUAUGUGCAGAUUUGUGACUCCUGUGUCACGCGCUUGCUUGCGUUCUUUUUGUUGGUUUGCUUUUCUUUCGCUUAGCUACAC
rnacentral:misc_RNA from 1 species